GCAACAAUGCUGGCGACCCCAUGGGUUGGAGCUAUAAGAAAUACCCAGGGUUAACAGAUCCCUUGAUUUUAGAGGCUUUAGCUUGCAGAGAGGCUAUCUUUUUAGGUUCUGCAAAAGGGUUGGAUUCAGUCAUUAUCGAAGGAGAUUCUAAAUAGCUUAUUUCAGCAGCAAAUGGGGAGUUGAAUUUUAGCAAGAUAGAAGGCAUCAUGAUGGACAUUUCAAUUUCUUGUAAUGCUUUCAGAAACUUAGUUUUCCAUCAUGUAAGAAGAGGUUGUAAUUCAGCGGCCCAUUUACUUGAGGCCUUGCAUGAUGUUUCCUUUUCAUGUAACCCAUUG
rnacentral:misc_RNA from 1 species